GUUCUCCCUGUGUCAGCGUGGGUUUCCUCCAGGUGCUCCGACAUGUUCUCCCUGUGUCAGCGUGGGUUUCCUCCAGGUGCUCCGACAUGUUCUCCCUGUGUCAGCGUGGGUUUCCUCCAGGUGCUCUGACAUGUUCUCCCUGUGUCAGUGUGGGUUUCCUCCAGGUGCUCCGACAUGUUCUCCCUGUGUCAGCGUGGGUUUCCUCCAGGUGCUCCGACAUGUUCUCCCUGUGUCAGCGUGGGUUUCCUCCAGGUGCUCUGACAUGUUCUCCCCGUGUCAGCGUGGGUUUCCUCCAGGUGCUCCGACAUGUUCUCCCUGUGUCAGCGUGGGUUUCCUCCAGGUGCUCCGACAUGUUCUCCCCGUGUCAGCGUGUG